GGGCUCCAGCUCUACGGGUCUGAAGACCCAUUAAGGACCCGUAGGUCGGGGGUUCAAAUCCCCCCGGGCCCACCA
rnacentral:tRNA from 1 species